rnacentral:rRNA from 1 species
GAUGAACGCUGGCGGCGUGCCUAAUACAUGCAAGUCGAGCGAACGGACGAGAAGCUUGCUUCUCUGAUGUUAGCGGCGGACGGGUGAGUAACACGUGGAUAACCUACCUAUAAGACUGGGAUAACUUCGGGAAACCGUAGCUAAUACCGGAUAAUAUUUUGAACCGCAUGGUUCAAAAGUGAAAGACGGUCUUGCUGUCACUUAUAGAUGGAUCCGCGCUGCAUUAGCUAGUUGGUAAGGUAACGGCUUACCAAGGCAACGAUGCAUAGCCGACCUGAGAGGGUGAUCGGACACACUGGAACUGAGACACGGUCCAGACUCCUACGGGAGGCAGCAGUAGGGAAUCUUCCGCAAUGGGCGAAAGCCUGACGGAGCAACGCCGCGUGAGUGAUGAAGGUCUUCGGAUCGUAAAACUCUGUUAAUAGGGAAGAACAUAUGUGUAAGUAAUUGUGCACAUCUUGACGGUACCUAAUCAGAAAGCCACGGCUAACUACGUG